GACGAACGCUGGCGGCGUGCCUAAUACAUGCAAGUUGAGCGCUGAAGGUUGGUACUUGUACCAACUGGAUGAGCAGCGAACGGGUGAGUAACGCGUGGGGAAUCUGCCUUUGAGCGGGGGACAACAUUUGGAAACGAAUGCUAAUACCGCAUAAAAACUUUAAACACAAGUUUUAAGUUUGAAAGAUGCAAUUGCAUCACUCAAAGAUGAUCCCGCGUUGUAUUAGCUAGUUGGUGAGGUAAAGGCUCACCAAGGCGAUGAUACAUAGCCGACCUGGGAGGGUGAGAGGCCACAUUGGGACUGAGACACGGCCCAAACUCCUACGGGAGGCAGCAGUAGGGAAUCUUCGGCAAUGGACGAAAGCCUGACCGAGCAACGCCGCGUGAGUGAAGAAGGAUUUCGGAUCGUAAAACUCUGUUGGUAGAGAAGAACGUUGGGGAGAGUGGAAAGCUCAUCAAGUGACGGUAACUACCCAGAAAGGGACGGCUAACUACGUG
rnacentral:rRNA from 1 species